AUUGAACGCUGGCGGCAUGCCUUACACAUGCAAGUCGAACGGCAGCGGGGGAGAAGCUUGCUUUUCCUGCCGGCGAGUGGCGAACGGGUGAGUAAUACAUCGGAACGUGCCCUGUAGUGGGGGAUAACUAGUCGAAAGAUUAGCUAAUACCGCAUACGACCUGAGGGUGAAAGUGGGGGACCGCAAGGCCUCAUGCUAUAGGAGCGGCCGAUGUCUGAUUAGCUAGUUGGUGGGGUAAAGGCCUACCAAGGCGACGAUCAGUAGCUGGUCUGAGGGGACGAGCAGCCAGACUGGGACGGAGACACGGCCAAGACUCCUACGGGAGGCAGCAGUGGGGAAUUUUGGACAAUGGGCGAAAGCCUGAUCCAGAAAUGCCGCGUGUGUGAAGAAGGCCUUCGAGUUGUAAAGCACUUUUGUCCGGAAAGAAAUGGCUCUGGUUAAUACCUGGGGUCGAUGACGGUACCGGAAGAAUAAGGACCGGCUAACUACGUGCCAGCCGCCGCGGUAA
rnacentral:rRNA from 1 species